GAUGAACGCUGACAGAAUGCUUAACACAUGCAAGUCAUUGGCGAAGCUGCGCUUGCGCAGUCUAGCCAAGGCGGACGGGUGAGUAACGCGUAAGGAACUUGCCCUGCAGACAGGGAUAACAGACGGAAACGACUGAUAACACCUGGUAUUGUCAGGCUGGCGCAUGCCGGCCUGAUGAAAGGAGACGCUGCAGGAGAGCCUUGCGUCCUAUUAGCUAGUUGGUGGGGUAACGGCCCACCAAGGCGAUGAUAGGUAGCCGGCCUGAGAGGGUGAACGGCCACAAGGGGACUGAGAUACGGCCCUUACUCCUACGGGAGGCAGCAGUGGGGAAUAUUGGACAAUGGGGGCAACCCUGAUCCAGCAAUUCUGUGUGCACGAAGAAGGUUUUCGGAUUGUAAAGUGCUUUCAGCAGGGAAGAAGAAA
rnacentral:rRNA from 1 species